rnacentral:rRNA from 1 species
GAUGAACGCUGGCGGCGUGCCUAAUACAUGCAAGUCGAGCGAACAGACGAGGAGCUUGCUCCUUUGACGUUAGCGGCGGACGGGUGAGUAACACGUGGGUAACCUACCUAUAAGACUGGGAUAACUUCGGGAAACCGGAGCUAAUACCGGAUAAUAUUUCGAACCGCAUGGUUCGAUAGUGAAAGAUGGCUUUGCUAUCACUUAUAGAUGGACCUGCGCCGUAUUAGCUAGUUGGUAAGGUAACGGCUUAACAAGGCAACGAUACGUAGCCGACCUGAGAGGGUAAUCGGCCACACUGGAACUGAGACACGGUCCAGACUCCUACGGGAGGCAGCAGUAGGGAAUCUUCCGCAAUGGGCGAAAGCCUGACGGAGCAACGCCGCGUGAGUGAUGAAGGUCUUCGGAUCGUAAAACUCUGUUAUUAGGGAAGGACAAACGUGUAAGUAACUGUGCACGUCUUGACGGUACCUAAUCAGAAAGCCACGGCUAACUACGUG